ensembl:lncRNA
UUUUUUAUUUUUUAUUUUUAAGAUAAUAAGGUAAUCUGACGUAACGAACGAAUCAAAACGAACGAAUCAAAUAAACGAAUCGUUAUAGUGAACUGAACUGAAAGAACUAGUUCCCGGAGAAGAAUCAUUUUGCCCAUCCCUAGUGGGCAGAUAAGGGAGAGGGAGGUGGGGGCUGUUGGAAAAUUUCCAAGGCCUUGGGAAAGGUGGGGGUUUUACCAGCGGGGACUGAAGGACUGAAGAGGAAUAGAUUUACUUAUGUCAGUGUUACUCAUGUAUCAGGUUUAGGCAUGUAUCAGUUAAAUAUCAUAAAAUCAUGUAUCAUGUUUUAGUAUCAUCAUAUAACAAUCAUUUUCUUUGCUUCUUUGUUUUAGUAUCAUCAUGAAUAUAUCUCUUUCUUUAAUAUCUAUCAUUCACUAUAAGAUUUAUCAUGUUGUUUAGACAUGAUCGGUUAUGGAAGAAAGCACCUAGAAAGAUUACAGCACUUGUGGGUGAAAUGAUGUUGUCAUACGCUUAUGACAUGUUGUAUUGUUUAUCUUACACUUAUGAUAUCUUGUAUUGUUGUAUUGUUUAUCUUACACUUAUGAUAUGUUGUAUUAUGGUAUUGUUUAUCAUUAUAUGUUGUAUUUUACUUAUUAGUAUAAUUUGUGGAACAAGUAACAACAAUCUGAAGGCGUACGUGCCUGAGAGUAGGCCUACGUGCCUGAGAGAAUCUUUGCCAUGGCGCGGUGGAAAAAUACCAGGUCAGAGUGACCUGAUGGCCAGCUGCAUGGGUAAGAGAGAGGGCGGGGCUGACAGUGAAAGUUUUAGAUAAAAGGCGCUGUAGGAAGCAGAGAGAUAGAGACAUCGUCCCGACGGGGGCUCCAUGCGGGGCGGCCCUGGGCCCUUUGCGAUCUCCGGACUUUCGGACUUAGAGAGAUUAGAACAUCCGAUCUCCGGACUUUCGGACUUAGAAAAAUUAGGACAUCCUCUCUCCAACACGCUACAGAGAUGCGUGUCGUAGCCCACUGGGGCAAAGAAGACUACUGGCUGUGGGACCAUUUGAUGAGAAUAUCCUGGCUGUGGGACCAUUUGAUGAGACCGACCCUCCGUGCCCCAGGAGAGAUAGAGCUUCCGUCGACACCGGGGAAGCGUAGUGUAGAGAGGUAAGGAUCAGGAAUCGAAAUUAUUAUAGACUAAAUCAGCUUUAUAAACAAACCCAAUUGAUUAGGCACUAUAUUAUAGGAGAGAUAGGGAUUCCCUCUCUUUUCCUCUGUCAAAACCGGCGUGGAACACCAGCGCUGCUCACUUCUCGACGACACGGAGCGGCCCGUAUCAGAUAGGGGCCAUCGGAGCAACAUUCCAGGGCAGCUCACCCUCCCCAAUCUGAAUCAGUGCGGGGGCCGACGGCAGGGGAACAACGGCCUUUCUCUUCACACAGCUGAGGGGAGUGCUGGACGUAGUGUAGAGAGUUAAUGAGUGCAUCAAGAAAUGGAAGGGUCUCAGGGACACCUACAGGAAGAAUAGGAAAAAGGAAAAGGAAAGGAGGAAGAGUGGUGCAGGGGCAGGUGGAGGGAAGCCAUGGAAGUAUGCCCGCAUAAUGGCCUUCAUAGAUCCAUUCAUGGAAGACCGCCAUAGCCAGACCAACAUGGCAGGGCCAGUGAGUGAGGGUGAGGAUGACACAGACCAGGCAGCACCAGGUAGAGCAACGGUCGAGCACCAGGAGGCACCAGGGAGAGCACAGGCCGCUGACCAGCUAGCACCACAGGCCGAGGAGCAGGCAGCAGGAAAGAGCAGGAGAAAGACAGGACGAGGCAGAGACCAGACUCGUGAUGCUCUUGAUGCGGAGAGGCUCAUCACAGCUAUAGAGGCUGUUAGCAAUCGAGUAGUGAGUCAGAGUCCUCCAGAGGACUCUGACUCACUAUUCUUUCGAAGCCUCCAAGAGGAUUUCAAAAAGCUGUCUCUUAAGACUAGAGAGGGUCUAAAGUUCGAAAUGUACAGCAGGGCUAUUCAACCUCCUUAACAAGUGGGCCGAAAAAGAAAACCACUGGGGGUUCAUGGGCCACACAGAGUAAAACUACGUGAAUGAAUCGCU